GGAUAAAAGUCGUAACAAGGUUUCCGUAGGUGAACCUGCGGAAGGAUCAUUACAGAGUUCAUGCCCUCACGGGUAGAUCUCCCACCCUUGAAUAUUUAUACCUUAGUUGCUUUGGCAGGCCGUGGAAACACCAUGGGCUCCGGCUUAUGCGUGCCUGCCAGAGGAAACAAACUCUGUUUUUAGUGAUGUCUGAGUACUAUAUAAUAGUUAAAACUUUCAACAACGGAUCUCUUGGUUCUG
rnacentral:misc_RNA from 1 species